rnacentral:tRNA from 1 species
GGUUUGAUAGUUCAAAUUGGUUAGAAUACAUGCCUGUCACGCAUGAGGUUACGGGUUCGAAUCCCGUUCAAACCG